CUCGCAACUGUGCCCUCGUCUGGGCUCCCGGCAGGACCCCAGCAGGCUGGCUCCCGGCUCGGGUACCACGCUGGCCCUCCACCCACCUGAGCUUCCUGGUGGGCUUCGGGGAACCUCCUCUAACUCCUUUGGGGCUGGAGGCGGGGUGUUGGUGGCAAAAUGCGCGAAGUGAGGUGUCAAGGUUUUGCCACCGAAGAUUGAAAAGCAGUGCUGCGCGCGCGGAGAUCCUUCCUCUCGGCCCGAGGUGUUUCUCAGGCUUGACCUUGAAUCCACAGCCAUUGGCAUGGACCCAUAAACCCAGUCUGGGCAAUCAUGAUACUCCAUGAUUGUUUGGCAACAGUAAUUGGCUCAAGAGGUGACCGUGUGAUCCAAGCAGGGCCAAACUAUGUAAUUUCUCUAGAACUGAAGUUUGGACAUUAGAAGAAAGAAGUUUUGUCCACUGCAGCCGCUAAAUAGAGAGACUGUCGAUUUGGGGCUACUGGUGGUCAUCUUUUCCACCACGUGGAGAGUCUGUUUACAGAGUGAAGUUUGUGUAGUAAAGGACUAACCUUACCCAAAGAAAGAUGUGGCCUUUGCCCUUUGCUCCUGGGAGAAGCUCUUUAAACCCCUGGCAAGUCCUACCUGACAAGAGUGUGUCUGUGUACCCUGGGGACUUGGGCCUCACCAGGUGGCCUAACAAUGUGAUGAUAAGAUGGAAACUGGGACACAGAGAGGGAGAAGACCAUGGGAAGGUGGAGGCAGAGAUUAGAGUGAUGCGUCUGCAAGCCAGAAAACCCAAGGAUUGUCAGCAGUGUCCAGCAGCUAGGGAGAGGCAAGGGAGGGUCCCGGCCUAGAGUUUUCAGGGAGAGCCUGGCCCGACCAACAUCUCCAUCUUGGACUUCUGGCUUCCACAACUGUGAGGCAAUAUACCUCAUUUUUUAAGGUUCCCUGGUGGUUUUAUGGAGGCGCUCCUUACAAUCACAACAAGAACUGCAGGGUUGGACUAGUUACCACAUAAGCUCCAGUUAGAAUGUGUCUGUGAACCAUCAAGCAAGUGGCCCUGGGCCCAGUGAGUGCCCCAGGCACUCCUAGUCGAUAGCGGCACUAUCGCUAAUAGGCUUUGACCAUCACAAAGCAGACUGAAAGGAAAAGACCUCACUGAGGACGUAAUGUUUCAGCCCAUAUCUGAAGGAGGUGAGGGAGAGAGUGUGAAGUGUCUGAAAAACGAGCAUUUCUGGUGGAAGCACUUUCUAGAGUCUGGUCAGACAGUUCUCUUAGUUUUUCCAUAAACACGUACAGUCUUCAGUUAUUUCAGAGAACACAUUC